GACGAACGCUGGCGGCGUGCUUAACACAUGCAAGUCGAACGGGAGUAUCGAAGAAGCUUGCUUUUAAGAUACUUUAGUGGCGGACGGGUGAGUAACGCGUGAGGAGCUGUACUAUGCAGGGGGACAACAGUUGGAAACGACUGCUAAUACUCCAUAAGCCGAGAGGUAACAGGACUUAUCCGGCAAAGGAGGUACUCGCGUCCUAUCAGCUAGUAGGUGGGGUACCGGCUCACCUAGGCGAAGACGGGUAGCCGGCCUGAGAGGGCGAACGGCCACACUGUAACUGAGAUACGGUCCAGACUCCUACGGGAGGCAGCAGUGGGGAAUAUUGGGCAAUGGGGGGAACCCUGACCCAGCGACGCCGCGUGGGUGAAGAAAUCCUUCGGGAUGUAAAGCCCUGUUGUAUGGGAAGAGCAGAAGACGGUACCAUACGAGGAAGCCCCGGCAAACUACGUGCCAGCCGCCGCAGUAA
rnacentral:rRNA from 1 species